rnacentral:rRNA from 1 species
GCUGGCGGCGUGCCUAACACAUGCAAGUCGAACGAGAAAGUGGAGCAAUCCAUGAGUAAAGUGGCGACCGGGUGAGUAACACGUGACUAACCUACCCUCGAGUGGGGAAUAACUCCGGGAAACCGGGGCUAAUACCGCAUAACAUCGCAAGAUCAAAGCAGCAAUGCGCUUGAGGAGGGGGUCGCGGCUGAUUAGCUAGUUGGCGGGGUAACGGCCCACCAAGGCGAAGAUCGGUAUCCGGCCUGAGAGGGCGCACGGACACACUGGAACUGAAACACGGUCCAGACUCCUACGGGAGGCAGCAGUGGGGAAUUUUGCGCAAUGGGGGAAACCCUGACGCAGCAACGCCGCGUGGAGGAUGAAGCCCUUUGGGGCGUAAACUCCUUUCGACUCGGACGAUAAUGACGGUACGAGUGGAAGAAGCACCGGCUAACUCUGUGCCAGCAGCCGCGGUAAUACAGAGGGUGCGAGCGUUGUUCGGAAUUAUUGGGCGUAAAGGGCGCGUANGCGGUGCGGUAAGUCACCUGUGAAAUCUCCUGGCUUAACUGGGAGCCUGCAGGCGAAACUAACGUGCUGGAGUGUGGGAGAGGUGCGUGGAAUUCCCGGUGUAGCGGUGAAAUGCG